AUUGAACGCUGGCGGAAUGCUUUACACAUGCAAGUCGAACGGUAGAGGGGGCAACCCCUCGAGAGCGGCGAACGGGUGAGUAAUAUAUCGGAACGUGCCCAGUCGUGGGGGAUAACGUAGCGAAAGUUACGCUAAUACCGCAUACGAUCUAAGGAUGAAAGCGGGGGAUCGCAAGACCUCGCGCGAUUGGAGCGGCCGAUAUCAGAUUAGGUAGUUGGUGGGGUAAAGGCUCACCAAGCCAACGAUCUGUAGCUGGUCUGAGAGGACGACCAGCCACACUGGAACUGAGACACGGUCCAGACUCCUACGGGAGGCAGCAGUGGGGAAUUUUGGACAAUGGACGCAAGUCUGAUCCAGCCAUUCCGCGUGCAGGAUGAAGGCCCUCGGGUUGUAAACUGCUUUUGUACGGAACGAAAAGGUCUCUCUUAAUACGGGGGGCUCAUGACGGUACCGUAAGAAUAAGCACCGGCUAACUACGUGCCAGCAGCCGCCGUAAUAC
rnacentral:rRNA from 1 species